rnacentral:rRNA from 1 species
CCUACGAGAGGCAGCUGUGAGGAAUAUUGGUCAAUGGACGAGAGUCUGAACCAGCCAAGCAGCGUGAAGGAUGAAUGUCCUAUGGGUUGUAAACUUCUUUUAUAUGGGAAUAAAAUGUUCCACGUGUGGGAUUUUGUAUGUACCAUAUGAAUAAGGAUAGGCUAACUCCGUGCCAGCAGCCGCGGUAAUACGGAGGAUUCGAGCGUUAUCCGGAUUUAUUGGGGUUAAAGGGAGCGUAGGUGGAAUGUUAAGUCAGCUGUGAAAGUGUGGGGGUCAACCGUAGAAGUGCCGUUGAAACUGGCAGUCUUGAGUACAGGAGAGGUAUGCGGAAUUCGUAGUGUAGCGGUGAAAUGCUUAGAUAUCACGAAGAACUCCGAUUGCGAAGGCAGCCCACUGGACUGCAACUGACACUGAGGCACGAAAGUGUGGGUAUCAAACAGGAUUAGAUACCCUAGUAGUC